CUGUAUGAGAGUGGCGAACGGGUGAGUAACACGUAGGUGAUCUACCUUUGGAUUGGGGAUAGCCCAUGGAAACAUGGCGUAAUACCGAAUAAAGCGGUUGAAAUAGAAAUCAACUGUGAAAUGCGCUUAGGCGCCGUCUGAAGAUGAGCCUGCGGCUUAUUAGCUAGUUGGUAGGGUAACGGGCUACCAAUGUGACGAUAAGUAGCCUGGCCUGAGAGGGUGGACGGCCACACUGGGACUGAGACACGGCCCAGACUCCUACGGGAGGCAGCAGCUAACAAUCUUCCGCAAUGGGCGAAAGCCUGACGGAGCGACGCCGCGUGGGUGAAGAAGGCCGAAAGGUUGUAAAGCCCUUUUCUCGCAGAAGAAUAAGGGCAGGAGGGAAUGCCUGUCUGAUGACGUUAGGUGAGGAAUAAGCCCCGGCCAAUUACGUGCCAGCAGCCGCGGUAACACGUAUGGGGCGAGCGUUGUUCGGAAUCAUUGGGCGUAAAGGGCGCGCAGGCGGUUAAAUAAGCCUGGUGUGAAAGGCUACAGCUCAACUGUAGUUUCGCGCUGGGAACUGUUUGACUAGAGUUCUGGAGGGGAAGCUGGAAUUCCUGGUGUAGGGGUGAAAUCUGUAGAUAUCAGGAAGAACACCGGUGGCGAAGGCGAGCUUCUAGCCAAGAACUGACGCUGAGGCGCGAAAGCGUGGGGAGCGAACAGGAUUAGAUACCCUGGUAGUCCACGCUGUAAACGAUGUGCACUAGGUGUUGGUCCAUAAGGAUCGGUACCGAAGCUAACGCGAUAAGUGCACCGCCUGGGGAGUAUGCUCGCAAGGGUGAAACUCAAAGGAAUUGACGGGGGCCCGCACAAGCGGUGGAGCAUGUGGUUUAAUUCGAUGAUACGCGAGAAACCUUACCAGGGCUUGACAUAUACCGGACGUCGCGAGAGAUCGUGAUUCCCUUCGGGGCCGGUAUACAGCUGCUGCAUGGCUGUCGUCAGCUCGUGCCGUGAGCUGUUGGGUUUAAGUCCCGCAACGAGCGCAACCCCUGCUGUCUGUUGCUAACAGGUGAAGCUGAGGACUCAGACGGAACUGCCGGUGACAAACCGGAGUAAGGUGGGGACGACGUCAAGUCAUCAUGGCCCUUAUGUCCUGGGCGAUACACGUGCUACAAUGGCUGGUACACGAGCGAAGCAAGACCGCGAGGUGGAGCAAAUCGCAGAAAGCCGGUCUCAGUUCGGAUUGGAGUCU
rnacentral:rRNA from 1 species